AGGACGAACGCUGGCGGCGUGCUUAACACAUGCAAGUCGAGCGGUAAGGCCUUUCGGGGUACACGAGCGGCGAACGGGUGAGUAACACGUGGGCGACCUGCCCUCAGCUCUGGGAUAAGCCUGGGAAACUGGGUCUAAUACCGGAUAUGACUCAUGAUCGCAUGGUUGUGGGUGGAAAGUUUGUUCUUAAUUGGACACUUCGGUGGGGGAUGGGCCCGCGGCCUAUCAGCUUGUUGGUGGGUGAUGGCCUACCAAGGCGACGACGGGUA
rnacentral:rRNA from 1 species